AUAAAGUUUUAUUUUAGCUUAAAAAUUUAUUAUUAAUUUAAUUUAUAUGUAAAUUUUUGUAUGAAUUUUUAUUUAUUUUAAUAAUAAAUAAUGUAUUUUAUUCGCAAUAAUUAAUAUUAUUAAUUAAAGAAAUUUAGAGAUAGUAAUAUUAAAUAAGUAUUGACUAAAUUUGUGCCAGCAGUCGCGGUUAUACUAAUAAUGCAAAUAAAUUUUUUUAGUUGAAGUUAAAUUGUUUUAUUAAAAUAAAAAUAAAUUUAUUAGGUGAAAUUUUAAAUUUAUUACAUUUUUUUUAAUUAUAAUUGAUUCUUAAAAAUUUUAAAUAAAAACUAGGAUUAGAUACCCUAUUAUUUAAAAUGUAAUUUUUAAAACUUAGGUAGUAAUAGUUAUGUUCUUGAAACUUAAAAAAUUUGGCGGUAUUUUAGUCUAUUCAGAGGAACCUGUUUUAUAAUCGAUAAUCCACGAUGGACCUCACUUAAAUUUGUAAUCAGUUUAUAUAUCGUUGUUAUUAGAAUAUUUUAUAAGAAUGUUAAUUUUCAAAAUUUUGUAAAAGAAAAUAUAUCAGAUCAAGGUGUAGCUUAUAUUUAAGUAAAAAUGGGUUACAAUAAAGUUAUUUAUACGAAUAUAAAUUUGAAACAUUUAUUAAAGGUGGAUUUGAUAGUAAAAUUAUAAAGAUUAAUAAUUUGAUUUUAGCUCUAAAAUAUGUACACAUCGCCCGUCACUCUUAUUAUUAAGGUAAGAUAAGUCGUAACAUAGUAGAUGUACUGGAAAGUGUAUCUAGAAUGCA
rnacentral:ncRNA from 1 species